UUGAACGCUGGCGGCAGGCUUAACACAUGCAAGUCGAACGGUAACAGGGGGUAGCUUGCUACUUUGCUGACGAGUGGCGAACGGGUGAGUAAUACAUCGGAACAUACCCAGUUGUGGGGGACAACCGACUCGAAAGAGUGGCUAAUACCGCAUGAUAUCUAAGGAUGAAAGCAGGGGACCUUCGGGCCUUGCGCAACUGGAGUGGCUGAUGGCAGAUUAGGUAG
rnacentral:rRNA from 1 species